rnacentral:rRNA from 1 species
GUCCCAGUUCGGAUUGUAGUCUGCAACCCGACUACAUGAAGCUGGAAUCGCUAGUAAUCGCGAAUUAGAAUGUCGCGGUGAAUACGUUCCCGGGUCUUGUACACACCGCCCGUCACACCAUGGGAGUCGGAAAUGCCCGAAGUCAGUGACCCAACCGUAAGGAGGGAGCUGCCGAAGGUGGAGCCGGUAACUGGGGUGAAGUCGUAACAAGGUAAC